ensembl:rRNA 5S_rRNA 5S ribosomal RNA
GCUUACGGCCAUACCUCUCUGGCUCUGCCUGAUCUCGUCAGAUCUCAGAAGCUAAGCAGAGUAGGGCCUGGUUAGUACUUGGAUGGAAGACCGCCUGGGAAUCCCAGGUGCCGUAAGCU